CACAGAUGAUGUUUUUAUCACGAUGGUCUACUGAAAUCAUUGAUGACACUGCCUCAUGGCACUUCUCUGAUGUGACAUU